CUUCAGCGUUUCAACAACUCAGCAACUCUCACACUUCAAACUACUACAGAUCAAGGUGAGAAGAGGACAGAGCAACGAAUUGUAGAAAUCUAAGGAUAAUGACAAGUAAGGAAAGGAGAGACACAGGGAAAGCGUGACCCAUGGUUGAAUCUUUCCUGUGCUAGUCAGUGAAUUAUUGUCCAACGGUCCACAUCAAGUCAGCUGAGGCUGACCAACAGUCGCAGAAUGGGGAACACCAACACUGCCAGCCACCUCAACAACCAGAGCAAGAUGAACAUCCGUGCUUUCCUGUCCAAUGCCAAGCUAGAGAUCGAUGCCUUCAUCGUCUCCAAUGCUGCCGCUGGCAGCAGUGACACAUUGACCAAGCUGCAGCAGCAGCCCGGUGGCAAGACGUUCAACUUCAGGAAAGACGUGCAGUGUGUCCGUGUGCUGGCCUUGCAGAGUCAAGAGCUGCCUUGGGUGGAGAACAAAUUUAUCUCCGUCUUUGUGGAGGACGAGAACGAUGAAAACAUAUGUUCCAGACAGAUUGUUCCGUGCAUGGCUUUGUCCUCUCCUGUGUCUUUCAUCUUAUAUAUGAUGUAUAGCUAUAGCAAUGAUUGAUCCCAUUGAAAUUGUACUCUUUGGUUAAUAUCAUUAGAAGGUGCUCUGACCAGUUCCGACAUUGGCCAUUGUCAGGCAUUCACUAAGGUUGUUUCCCUGAUUUUGAAUCUGUUCAUUUGAACAAACAUGCCAUUGAAAAAGAAGGCUUUUCAAAUAAGUCAUCACAGAACAAACCACAAAACACCUCACGAAUGUGAAAAUGCGCAUUUGUACCUGAACAUUUGAAUGUUGACUCAUCUUUCAGUGAAAUGUAACUAAAUCUAUGUCACUUCUUUAGGGACUUUGGUAUCAUUGACAGCUUCUGAAAAACCUGUAUUCUUCUGUAUCCUUCAAAUAAAACUGUUAGAUGACUUCA
ensembl:lncRNA